CGUCGAUCUGCAUUUUAUUUUUUUUCUUCUUCACUUGCGUAGAUUAUGUCUUUCGUUUGCGCCGAUUGUGUACAGGUUAGGUGAAAAGUUUUUUUAUGCCCAAUUUAUGGGCAUUAUUUGUUCUGGUCUGUGAGUCCGUUCGUACGUCUGUCUGUCCCGCUUCAGGUUAAAGUUUGUGGUUACAGCUUUUGGUCAAGGUAGUUUUUGACGAAAUUGAAGUCCUAUCAACUUAAAACUUGGUAAACAUGUUCCUUAUCCAAUGAUCCUUCUAAUUUAAGUGUCAAUUAAAAAAAAAAAAAAUUGAGUAUUCACAAGGUUAGGACGAUAAUCAAUUAUUCCUAAAAGUUGUGACAUACUGGCAACAUGUGCA
rnacentral:lncRNA from 1 species